AGUCUAGUCAAUACCACAGAGUACGUUGUACCAUGCGACUGUUGUUGUGAAAUGAAAACACACACGGCUGUCACCAAAGCAAUGUGCAAAGUUAUGUAUUGGACUGUCGGCAACAACAGUGUAGCAUGGUACAACCGAUAAGGGCGGCAUAACAGGCACUGUGACCGUAAGUAAGGCAGAUAUAGACACGGUGUUCUCAAUAAUUUGGCUGUAAUAGUACACUGUUCCAGUAUCACAUUGAAAACGAGGAGAAAAAGCAGGACUAUCCAAGCAUUUCAAGGCAGAUGGAACAAGGAAUGAGAUCAUAAAUGACAUUGAGAAGAGUUACUUAGUAAUCAUCUCUCCUGUGUCACUACACACGUGCACAGGAAUAGCAUAUUGGUACCCACGCUUGAUGUGAUAGCCAAGGUAACGUAGUCCACAACAGAAUGACAGAUCGCAACCAGAAAUAUCGCUUACAUUACUUGCUGCCCAUUGACUCGUGUUAAGAACGGAUGCAGAUGGCCAUUGUGAAAGGGAUGUGUAGUCAAAUAUUAAUCCCGACGUGACCUUGAAACCAAGGUGACGAUGAAGGUCAAACGGGAUACGUUCGAUACGGGUCAGCCGAUCUUCCAGCACCCGGAUGAUUACAGCGAAGAUCGGUAUAUGAUUCACGAAAUGAAAAUUUUCAUUAUUUUGGUGAUAGGUUUUGUUGUGAUACUGGCAUGUGUCCUCUACAUUAUAGUGCAGUGUAAACGGAAAGCCGGAUAUGCGGUCAAAUUCUGCCGGAACCGGAAGGAGUCAAGUGAUGUUAAAAAGCUUUUGGAUAACCAAGAGAGUGUUGAAAAUCUUCUUCAUGUGACGUCACCACAUCUCUCACGGAACCAAAUAAACAAAGAGUUCUACGUGUGACUAUGAUUAUUUGUGAUAUCGUGACGUCACUCACAAUGCAUAUGAAUAUGAAAGGGCGUGCCGAUAUUUUGUCAAACGAGGCAAUUAAAUGUUUGCAAGAGUGAUAAUAUCAGACGUGCACAUUGUGCAGAAACUACAAUAUGAUAAUUUGCCUCGUGGUUGUGAAUGGAAGUAAACGCCCCAAAGGUAAUAUCACACUAUGCACAAAAGGCCUGUAUAUUACACGGCCUGACGUCAGUCCGGUCGGGUAGUCUACUCUCUAUGCUCUAAGAUUGUCACCAAAUUCCCAAGUGCGUCUGAACCAUUUAUUGAAUAGAACAUCUAUGAAGUGUUUCAGAUGUAGGAUGUGGCAAGGAAGAAGUUGUAUCGCAUCAGUACGAAUACGUUAUAUUGCUGAAUGUUUAAUUAGACUGACUAAGCCUGAUCUAGAGUUGGGGCUUUGAAUAUUCAGGUAAGGAGCUAACAAUCGUGUACUGUAUGCUCACUUGCCGACGGUGUGUCCGUCUGUCCGGCAGGGAGGUCAUGUUGCUGCUGAGAAAAAGUGAUUUACAGCCUGCACCUACAUUUGGUGAGGGACAUUGACUAUUUAUCUUACGGAUAUUCUUUUAAUUUUUAUACUCAAGUUGAUUGUUUGUAAUCAUAGAUCUUUUGAACCUUUUUUACAUGUGUUCGAGCACGGAGAACCAAUCAGAUCCCUUAUCAUUGUCACGUGAGUGUGUGUUUUCAUACCUUUUUAUCAUAUUACUUUUAUGUAUUUUUCCUAUACAAUUCAAAAGAACUUAAAAUGUUAAUGCAAAAAAUGAAAGUUUGUGAAUUUUUUCUACAAUCAUAA
rnacentral:lncRNA from 1 species